UUAAGCGACUAAGCGUACACGGUGGAUGCCCUGGCAGUCAGAGGCGAUGAAGGACGUGCUAAUCUGCGAUAAGCGUCGGUAAGGUGAUAUGAACCGUUAUAACCGGCGAUUUCCGAAUGGGGAAACCCAGUGUGAUUCGUCACACUAUCAUUAACUGAAUCCAUAGGUUAAUGAGGCGAACCGGGGGAACUGAAACAUCUAAGUACCCCGAGGAAAAGAAAUCAACCGAGAUUCCCCCAGUAGCGGCGAGCGAACGGGGAGCAGCCCAGAGCCUGAAUCAGUAUGUGUGUUAGUGGAAGCGUCUGGAAAGGCGCGCGAUACAGGGUGACAGCCCCGUACACAAAAAUGCACAUGCUGUGAGCUCGAUGAGUAGGGCGGGACACGUGGUAUCCUGUCUGAAUAUGGGGGGACCAUCCUCCAAGGCUAAAUACUCCUGACUGACCGAUAGUGAACCAGUACCGUGAGGGAAAGGCGAAAAGAACCCCGGCGAGGGGAGUGAAAAAGAACCUGAAACCGUGUACGUACAAGCAGUGGGAGCACGCUUAGGCGUGUGACUGCGUACCUUUUGUAUAAUGGGUCAGCGACUUAUAUUCUGUAGCAAGGUUAACCGAAUAGGGGAGCCGAAGGGAAACCGAGUCUUAACUGGGCGUUAAGUUGCAGGGUAUAGACCCGAAACCCGGUGAUCUAGCCAUGGGCAGGUUGAAGGUUGGGUAACACUAACUGGAGGACCGAACCGACUAAUGUUGAAAAAUUAGCGGAUGACUUGUGGCUGGGGGUGAAAGGCCAAUCAAACCGGGAGAUAGCUGGUUCUCCCCGAAAGCUAUUUAGGUAGCGCCUCGUGAAUUCAUCUCCGGGGGUAGAGCACUGUUUCGGCAAGGGGGUCAUCCCGACUUACCAACCCGAUGCAAACUGCGAAUACCGGAGAAUGUUAUCACGGGAGACACACGGCGGGUGCUAACGUCCGUCGUGAAGAGGGAAACAACCCAGACCGCCAGCUAAGGUCCCAAAGUCAUGGUUAAGUGGGAAACGAUGUGGGAAGGCCCAGACAGCCAGGAUGUUGGCUUAGAAGCAGCCAUCAUUUAAAGAAAGCGUAAUAGCUCACUGGUCGAGUCGGCCUGCGCGGAAGAUGUAACGGGGCUAAACCAUGCACCGAAGCUGCGGCAGCGACGCUUAUGCGUUGUUGGGUAGGGGAGCGUUCUGUAAGCCUGCGAAGGUGUGCUGUGAGGCAUGCUGGAGGUAUCAGAAGUGCGAAUGCUGACAUAAGUAACGAUAAAGCGGGUGAAAAGCCCGCUCGCCGGAAGACCAAGGGUUCCUGUCCAACGUUAAUCGGGGCAGGGUGAGUCGACCCCUAAGGCGAGGCCGAAAGGCGUAGUCGAUGGGAAACAGGUUAAUAUUCCUGUACUUGGUGUUACUGCGAAGGGGGGACGGAGAAGGCUAUGUUGGCCGGGCGACGGUUGUCCCGGUUUAAGCGUGUAGGCUGGUUUUCCAGGCAAAUCCGGAAAAUCAAGGCUGAGGCGUGAUGACGAGGCACUACGGUGCUGAAGCAACAAAUGCCCUGCUUCCAGGAAAAGCCUCUAAGCAUCAGGUAACAUCAAAUCGUACCCCAAACCGACACAGGUGGUCAGGUAGAGAAUACCAAGGCGCUUGAGAGAACUCGGGUGAAGGAACUAGGCAAAAUGGUGCCGUAACUUCGGGAGAAGGCACGCUGAUAUGUAGGUGAAGUCCCUCGCGGAUGGAGCUGAAAUCAGUCGAAGAUACCAGCUGGCUGCAACUGUUUAUUAAAAACACAGCACUGUGCAAACACGAAAGUGGACGUAUACGGUGUGACGCCUGCCCGGUGCCGGAAGGUUAAUUGAUGGGGUCAGCGCAAGCGAAGCUCUUGAUCGAAGCCCCGGUAAACGGCGGCCGUAACUAUAACGGUCCUAAGGUAGCGAAAUUCCUUGUCGGGUAAGUUCCGACCUGCACGAAUGGCGUAAUGAUGGCCAGGCUGUCUCCACCCGAGACUCAGUGAAAUUGAACUCGCUGUGAAGAUGCAGUGUACCCGCGGCAAGACGGAAAGACCCCGUGAACCUUUACUAUAGCUUGACACUGAACAUUGAGCCUUGAUGUGUAGGAUAGGUGGGAGGCUUUGAAGUGUGGACGCCAGUCUGCAUGGAGCCGACCUUGAAAUACCACCCUUUAAUGUUUGAUGUUCUAACGUUGACCCGUAAUCCGGGUUGCGGACAGUGUCUGGUGGGUAGUUUGACUGGGGCGGUCUCCUCCUAAAGAGUAACGGAGGAGCACGAAGGUUGGCUAAUCCUGGUCGGACAUCAGGAGGUUAGUGCAAUGGCAUAAGCCAGCUUGACUGCGAGCGUGACGGCGCGAGCAGGUGCGAAAGCAGGUCAUAGUGAUCCGGUGGUUCUGAAUGGAAGGGCCAUCGCUCAACGGAUAAAAGGUACUCCGGGGAUAACAGGCUGAUACCGCCCAAGAGUUCAUAUCGACGGCGGUGUUUGGCACCUCGAUGUCGGCUCAUCACAUCCUGGGGCUGAAGUAGGUCCCAAGGGUAUGGCUGUUCGCCAUUUAAAGUGGUACGCGAGCUGGGUUUAGAACGUCGUGAGACAGUUCGGUCCCUAUCUGCCGUGGGCGCUGGAGAACUGAGGGGGGCUGCUCCUAGUACGAGAGGACCGGAGUGGACGCAUCACUGGUGUUCGGGUUGUCAUGCCAAUGGCACUGCCCGGUAGCUAAAUGCGGAAGAGAUAAGUGCUGAAAGCAUCUAAGCACGAAACUUGCCCCGAGAUGAGUUCUCCCUGACUCCUUGAGAGUCCUGAAGGAACGUUGAAGACGACGACGUUGAUAGGCCGGGUGUGUAAGCGCAGCGAUGCGUUGAGCUAACCGGUACUAAUGAACCGUGAGGCUUAACCUU
rnacentral:rRNA from 1 species